UCGAGAAUAUUUCGCAAUGGGCGAAAGCCUGACGAAGCGACGCCGUGUGAAUGAAGAAGGCCUUCGGGUUGUAAAGUUCUGUCGCCUAAGAACAAGGGUGUGCUAGGAUAAUGAGUACACUUUGAGUGUAUUAGGAAAGGAAGCACCGGCUAACUCCGUGCCAGCAGCUGCGGUAAUACGGAGGGUGCAAGCGUUAGUCGGAAUUACUGGGCGUAAAGGGUGCGUAGGCGGACUCAUAAGUCAGACGUGAAAUUCCGUGGCUCAACCACGGAGCUGCAUCUGAAACUAUGAGUCUAGCGGAAUGGCGGAGAAAACGGAAUUCCACGUGUAGCGGUGAAAUGCGUAGAUAUGUGGAAGAACACCAGUGGCGAAAGCGGUUUUCUAGCUUAAUCCGGACGCUGAGGCACGAAAGCAAGGGGAUCAAACAGGAUUAGAUACCCCCGUAGUCC
rnacentral:rRNA from 1 species